AUGGCUUCAGCUUUGGAGGAGCUACAGAAAGACCUAGAAGAGAUAAAGGUGCUGCUGGAAAAGUCCACUAGCAAAAAAGUGUGUGAUAUGCUUACAGCUGAAAAAUCCAAGAUCAUGGCUGAAAUAAAGAACAAGAUGCAACAGAAAUCACAGAAGAAACCAGAACUUGACAAUGAAAAGCCAUCUGCUGUGGUUACUCCCAUUACAACAGGAUACACAGUGAAAAUCAAUAAUUAUGGAUGGGAUCAGUCAGAUAAGUUUAUGAAAAUCUACAUUACCUUAACUGGAGUUCAUCCAGUUCCCCCUGAGAAUGUGCAGGUGCAUUUCACAGAGAGGUCAUUUGAUCUUUUGGUAAAGUAUCUAAAUGGGAAGAGUUACUCCAUGAUCGUGAACAAUCUCUUGAAACACAUUUCUGUGGAUGGCAGUUCAAAAAAAGUGAAAACUGAUACAGUUCUUAUCUUAUGUAGAAAGAAAGUAGAAAACACACAGUGGGACUACUUGACUCAAGUUGAAAAAGACUGCAGAGAGAAAGAAAAGCCUUCCUAUGACACUGAAGCAGAUCCUAGUGAGGAAUUAAUGAAUGUUUUAAAGAAAAUUUAUGAAGAUGGAGAUGAUGACAUGAAACUAACUAUUAAUAAAGCCUGGGUGGAAUCAAGAGAGAAGCAAGCCAAAGGAGAGACAGAAUUUUGAGUGAC